rfam:Sorghum bicolor cultivar BTx623 chromosome 7, whole genome shotgun sequence.
AUUCCAUGAUGGGGGGACAUUCGAGGAUGUAGUCUUGGAAGCGCUCCCAUGCUUCUGGAAUGGAUUCAUCAUGUUGUUGCUGAAAACUUGUAAUUUUCCCACGGAGAGC